CCUUGAGACAUGCCCCCAGGAAAAAAGUCAAUGAUUUCAGACUCCUUUAUGAGCAAGGAAAAGAGAGCAAUCUCCU